rnacentral:tRNA from 1 species
AGGGCUAUAGCUCAGUUAGGUAGAGCACCUCGUUUACACCGAGAAG